UUUCGAAAGGAAGAUUAAUACCCCAUAAUAUACUGGAUGGCAUCAUCUGGUAUUGAAAACUCCGGUGGAUAGAGAUGGGCACGCGCAAGAUUAGAUAGUUGGUGAGGUAACGGCUCACCAAGUCAGCGAUCUUUAGGGGGCCUGAGAGGGUGAUCCCCCACACUGGUACUGAGACACGGACCAGACUCCUACGGGAGGCAGCAGUGAGGAAUAUUGGACAAUGGGUGAGAGCCUGAUCCAGCCAUCCCGCGUGAAGGACGACGGCCCUAUGGGUUGUAAACUUCUUUUGUAUAGGGAUAAACCUAGAUACGUGUAUCUAGCUGAAGGUACUAUACGAAUAAGCACCGGCUAACUCCGUGCCAGCAGCCGCGGUAAUACGGAGGGUGCAAGCGUUAUCCGGAUUUAUUGGGUUUAAAGGGUCCGUAGGCGGAUCUGUAAGUCAGUGGUGAAAUCUCACAGCUUAACUGUGAAACUGCCAUUGAUACUGCAGGUCUUGAGUGUUGUUGAAGUAGCUGGAAUAAGUAGUGUAGCGGUGAAAUGCAUAGAUAUUACUUAGAACACCAAUUGCGAAGGCAGGUUACUAAGCAACAACUGACGCUGAUGGACGAAAGCGUGGGGAGCGAACAGGAUUAGAUACCCUGGUAGUCCACGCCGUAAACGAUGCUAACUCGUUUUUGGGGCGUAAGCUUCAGAGACUAAGCGAAAGUGAUAAGUUAGCCACCUGGGGAGUACGAACGCAAGUUUGAAACUCAAAGGAAUUGACGGGGGGCCCGCACAAGCGGUGGAUUUAUGUGGUUUAAUUCGAUGAUACGCGAGGAACCUUACCAAGGCUUAAAUGGGAAAUGACAGGUUUAGAAAUAGACUUUUUCUUCGGACAUUUUUCAAGGUGCUGCAUGGUUGUCGUCAGCUCGUGCCGUGAGGUGUUAGGUUAAGUCCUGCAACGAGCGCAACCCCUGUCACUAGUUGCCAUCAUUAAGUUGGGGACUCUAGUGAGACUGCCUACGCAAGUAGAGAGGAAGGUGGGGAUGACGUCAAAUCAUCACGGCCCUUACGCCUUGGGCCACACACGUAAUACAAUGG
rnacentral:rRNA from 1 species